AUAAGUCACAAUUUUUAUUUUAUUUUUCCAUCAGACACGUGCAAACAUGCACACGCGAUUAACUUCCCUUUGGGUGCAUGUUAGCAAUUCCACUUUAUCUAACUAAACAGCUAUUAUUGUUGCCAUACAAUCUGAAGUACAAAUGAGGCACUGUUUCAUGAUUUUUACAAGGUCCCAGUGAUUUUAUUACUGAAUAGGUAUUUAAAACAUUGGUGGAUUUUUUUCAGGAGAAAUCUGCAUUUUUAAUAAAGGAAGCAUUUGUAGUCAUGAAAUACCUCAUUUUUCUACAAACACAAAUCCCCUCCCAAGUGAGUAAAUUUUACCAAGGGAAAGUAUAAUUUUUUUUUGGUAAUAUUGAAAAAGAGAAGCCUUUACAUUUUUUCCAUUACGUGAAGUUCUUCAGCCUUGGGCCCGUGAUAGAGAGCUAGGUAAAAAUCCCAAUUCCAAUUUCAAUAAAAUAGCCAUGUUUCAAUUAUCAAAAGUGUCAUAUUUCAAUAGCAAUUUUCUUUUAAAUUUUUUAAUGAUUUUUAUUCUUAAUGGAUCACAGACUCAAAGAGUAUUACUUCACUAAUUUUGAAAUAAAACUGGUAUUUAACCCUUUAAAAAUCAAACUAUCAUUAAAAAAAUGUGAGGAUCACCAAAGCUUUGGAUUCAUAAUAAAUGCAAUGUGGAAAUUCUCUGCUUUGUUUUUACACUUGCUUGAUAAAAAUUGUUCUUCAAAAAACUAUUAAAAAAUCUUGGAAGGAGAUUUAAAAUUCUUGACUUACACAGUUCUGACCCCAAUAACUUAUGCGCUAAAAUGUCAGAGGAAAUAUGUCCCUAAAUGCUCCCUGGAAAGUAAAUCUUCCCAUGUCUGUAUCUCAGUCAACCCAGCUAUUCUAACAGUUGCUUUAUGAAAAACAGCAAACGUUUUUUAUAAAACUUAUGAACCUAUACAACAUAAAUGAACUCAGUGGGGUUUAUAUGCUAGGGUGAGAAAACCAGGCAAACAAGUUAUGCAAUUACUUUAUUUAUUUAUUUAUUUAUUGUCUUUUUUUGCUAUUUCUUGGGCCCCUCCCGUGGCAUAUGGAGACAAAAAAAAAAAAGAAUUUCAUUAACUUAUUUUUAAACCCCAGGCUUUCAUUUCUUGGAUUAAGACCAACCUUAAAAAUACUUUUAAAAAUUCUAUGGAAAAUGCUAACUCUCUGAGUAAAAGACCAAAAAAAAAAAAAAAAAAAAUAGCAGUCCCUGAGGACUACUUUUUUGUUUAGGACACUUUUUCAUCCAUAAUACAUAUUUCCUUUCGGUAUGAGGGCUGAAUAAAAACAAAUCUGAGAAAACGUACAUUUCAUUUUACUGAUGUAUGUACCUAUUUUAUUACGAGGUAAUGCCGAACAGUACGUGGGAAUGAUUUGUAUUUUCUCAAGGAUAGUUUUGUUCCCCUAAGGUGGGUUUACACGGAUGUACUAGAAUGCUUUUGCUCACCUUAUUGUAUAACAUAGAAUGACCACCAGGCUGUGCUAAAAGCUUUGCCAUGGUUUCGUCGGCCAGAGGCUGGGAGGGAGAGGGGUAGAGGGCUUCGAAAUAAAUGCUACAACAUAAUGUGUGAUAUGUCAGUACACUCGGCCACACAUUCAGACAUGCCUGCUUUACAGGUUCACAAGUGCCUGCUGAUAUUUUAUAUCCUCGAGCUCAUUCACACUUACCUAAGAAUGGUCCCACGAGGUAAAUCAAUGAUAUUCUUUCUGAGAAGAAUGACUUUUCUAGACUGUAUUCCACACCAUCUGCCAGAGUGGUCCAGCCUGACAUGUCCACUUGCCCAUCACAGAAAUCCAUUCCAUCCUCACUGCUCUGACAGUGGAACCCCAGGCAAGCGAGUUGUCUUUAGGGUCAGAGCUUCCAUCUGUACAUCCUAUCCCUCUACGCUUCCCAAGCGCAUCCCUUUAUCCAUCCUGCAUCAGCACCAGUCCCCAUGGAGGCAAAAAAAACACAAAGAGAACUCCAGGUUGGUCUUAGUUUUCUUUGCCCUGAAUCAGAACAAUGUUGCAAAAGCCUUAUGUAUCUUACAGCUACAGAGACACAGUGGCUGAAGCCUUUUUGUGCAAAGCAUUUGGCUACAUGGAAGAUUCAAUCAAAGAUCUUUGCUGCUAAAGGAGUUAGACAUUUUUCAGGUGGUAGAAAGUUUAUGUACUUCAACUAAAAUAUUUUUUUGUUGUUGGUAAUCGAGGAGAACAAAAUAACAUAAUAUGAUGGGAAGCUAGUGAUAUGUUUUUUAGAAAAUAUAUAUGCAUGUUAUACAUAUAUAUAUAAACUAUAGGUUUUAGUAACAGUAUUUCCUUACCAUGAACUGCUUCUGUCCCCAUGCUAGCUGUGGUCUUUAUUUUUUUGGUGCAUCCCUUCCUUUGGAACCAAGCUUAUCUCCUCUGAGCUAAACAUCUUUGGAGCUUGUGCCUCUAAAAAUGCUGGCCUCAAGAUCUUCCCAGAACUGCUCAAGAGCUGGAGUUUGCAAACUCAAAUACCUUCAGAGGUUAGGAAAAUAAUGAGAAGGAAUGAAAAAAGUUGAUACAAUAUU
ensembl:lncRNA